UUGAAACAAAAUUCAUAAAGUAUACAUACAAUGGUCCAUACAUACAUCAUUCCGGAUAAAUACAAAAACACAUAUAAUGUAAUAGACAUGGUUUUAGAAAUUAUUAUUACUCAAUAAUAUUUCAAGAUACAUAAGCAUAGAGUUAAAUAAUUCUAAUGUCCGUUCUAUUUCUCUACAAUCACAAUAUUCAUUAUGGUUGGUAGUAUGGUAAUCGCUAAUAAAUCUUCCUUGUUCAAUUAUAUUUCUUUUAAAUGCUUCUACUUCUCUUUUAUUUGUUAA
rnacentral:lncRNA from 1 species